rnacentral:rRNA from 1 species
UACGAAGGGGGCUAGCGUUGUUCGGAAUCACUGGGCGUAAAGCGCACGUAGGCGGACCUUCAGGUCAGGGGUGAAAUCCCGGGGCUCAACCUCGGAACUGCCUUUGAUACUGUUGGUCUUGAGUCCGGAAGAGGUGGGUGGAAUUCCUAGUGUAGAGGUGAAAUUCGUAGAUAUUAGGAAGAACACCGGUGGCGAAGGCGGCCCACUGGUCCGGUACUGACGCUGAGGUGCGAAAGCGUGGGGAGCAAACAGG